UAUAUAUGAGUCCAGCUACUAUACUAUUGAUUGUACCAAGCCUUUGGUACUAUUAAGUUUUCUACCGUUAGAUCUACCCUUUGAUCAUUUCCAUCCGUUAGAUAAUACUAUUAAACCAACCACCCACUCAACCCUUGAGGACCACUAUUAAUUUAACCGGGGACCACUAUCAUCCUAACCGCACAUUAUUUUAUCCAACGGCCAAAAACUCAAUAGUACCAGAGACUUGGUACUAUUGAUAGUAUAGUAGCAUAAUUCUAUAUAUAUAUAUAUAUAUAUAUAUAUAUAUAUAGUUUUGACAAAAAAAGUUUAUUUUUUUUUUGAGAGAUAGGUAGCACGCUACCCGCUUCGUUUAUUUCAUUUAGAAAUAAACUUAGCUAGAAAUGUGAAUCAACUAGGAUUCGAACUUGGGUCUCGGGUACCAAUCACAAAUCCUUUUGCCACUUGCUCUAGGAAUAGUCGGUGAUAAAAAAUAUUUAUUGAUUAUUAAAUUUGAGUCAAUGUAAACAAUAAA
rnacentral:lncRNA from 1 species